GUCCUCACGCCCAGGCCCCCUGUCCACACACCAAGUUUGUGCAAGUCCGGGCUGUUGAUCUGGCAGGGAGCAGAGGACCUCAUUUCCUAGGGUCAGUUCCCCCGCGGUCUCUGCCCGCUGACCCUUUGACCUCCACCUACAGGGCCCUCCGCGGCCGUAAGCCGGCGGUCCAGGUCCCUUGGGCUCCGAGGACGCUUCGCGCCCCAUCGCCUCGGCCUCAUUAGGCCCGCAGGGCUGUAAAGCAGGAAUCAGCCGCUGCCUAAUCCGGACCUGGGGUCAAAACGAGCCCAAACAAUGUGCACAAAGAAGACGGCUUUGGAGCAAGAAUUUGGACUAUGCAUUUAAGUUGUCAUGCUUUGCAUUGGAAACCCCUGAGCAAUUAAAAUAAGCAUGCCCUAUAGUAUUUUCUGUUCUUUUCUUAUGUAUGAUUUCUGCAAGUCAAAGGGACUGGAGCUUCUUCGGCAGUUUGGAAACUUGUUUUUGAAAUUGCCACCAAACUGAUUUUUUUUUUCUUUGCUGUGGGCAAAGUUUUCUCCCCGGGCUCCGGCCACUCCUCCCAUUCCCUCAGUGGACUUAGUAUAUUGACAUCUUUGAGAGAUCAAAGAAAGUAAAUGGCACUUGCUGUAUACUAUAUUUUUCCAUGCUGUCGUUUGAACCCUGAGGUUUGAGCUUUUUUCCGGUUAAAUUUCUUGAUACCAACAACUGUGGAAAAUAAAAUGUUCAUUAAAUCGAAAAAGCUUUAGCCAUUGCUUAGACAAGAGUUUGUCCUUUACGUUCUACAGAGCCCCGAUUGUCUCUUACAUUGACUUUAACUUCAAGCUAAGAUGCAUUGGUGAACUGUUCCCCUGGAUACCUGCGGUGUUCUUUGGGUAAUUUGAUAGGGUAGAACUGGUUGAUCUUCACAGGAGCUGAGUGGAAUUUCUGCAAAACUGAGCAAGUGAUAAACUGGUGGAGCUCUUAUAUUUGACGACUCUCACUGAGAUUUGGGUUCUGUCCUAACUAUUGAAUUGUUCAGUUUGAAAAACACUUAAGUUUACUGGGAAGCAUGUAAAGAGGGGAGUGUUCAGACCACUUGGACUAAAUGGUAACUUUUAACAUAGCAGUAUAAAUUCUUUGAAAAUGAGAGGAAGUCCUGUUUCAAAAAAUCUAGUAUAACCAAAGAACACAACACCUUUCUUUCAAAAGCAUCUAACAGACCAAGCAAUUUUGUGUAUUUAUAAUCAGAUAAGUGUUUAACUUGUUUGCUAAUCUGAUGAGUAGAGAGAAAUGUAAGCUUUAUAGCAAGUAUAAAAAUAGCUUUCACCAGAUGGCAGGUACAUAAUGUUUACCUUUAAGAGGAUGUAUGUAUUGUCUAAUGUGCUUUAUGAAAAUACAACCUAUGUAAAGACCAUUUGAACAUAAGGUAUUUAAAAUUAAAGAUUCCAUCUCGUUUUAUUCUAUCUAGCAUUUAAAUAUCCAUGUAACACUUUAUGGCAUUAUUUUCUAUGAGAAAAUGUGGCCUGUUUUGACCUAUCUGCAGUUCACUUUUUGUUUUUUUGCCAGUGUUGUCCUGCUUGGUAUCCGGGACAGUCUCUAAUUCCUGACGAAGAACUUGAUACUGACGUUGGUAUGCAGCAGCCAGUCCUCCAUAACACUACCUAUCCUAAAUGCAGGGUUAAUGCUGAACCUACUGUGCAAGA
ensembl:lincRNA